rnacentral:rRNA from 1 species
GAUGAACGCUGGCGGCGUGCCUAAUACAUGCAAGUCGAGCGAACGGACGAGAAGCUUGCUUCUCUGAUGUUAGCGGCGGACGGGUGAGUAACACGUGGAUAACCUACCUAUAAGACUGGGAUAACUUCGGGAAACCGGAGCUAAUACCGGAUGAUAUUUUGAACCGCAUUGUUCACAAGUGAAAGACGGUCUUGCUGUCACUUAUAGAUGGAUCCGCGCUGCAUUAGCUAGUUGGUAAGGUAACGGCUUACCAAGGCAACGAUGCAUAGCCGACCUGAGAGGGUGAUCGGCCACACUGGAACUGAGACACGGUCCAGACUCCUACGGGAGGCAGCAGUAGGGAAUCUUACGCAAUGGGCGAAAGCCUGACGGAGCAACGCCGCGUGAGUGAUGAAGGUCUUCGGAUCGUAAAACUCUGUUAUUAGGGAAGAACAUAUGUGUAAGUAACUGUGCACAUCUUGACGGUACCUAAUCAGAAAGCCACGGCUAACUACGUG